rnacentral:rRNA from 1 species
UGGAAAAGGAUGUGGGAUUUCGAAGACAACUAGGAUGUUGGCUCAGAAGCAGCCACACAUUAAAAGAGUGCGUAAUAGCUCACUAGUCGAGAGGUCCUGCGCCGAAAAUGUCCGGGGCUAAAACACGACACCGAAGCUUAGGACUCCAUUUAGGAGUGGUAGAGGAGCAUUGUUAGCGCAGCGAAGCUGUACCGAUAAGGAGCAGUGGAGUGCUAAGAAGAGAGAAUGCCGGAAUGAGUAGCGAGAGGAAGGUGAGAAUCCUUCCGGCCGAAUAUCCAAGGUUUCCAGAGUAAAGCUGAUCUGCUCUGGGUAAGUCGGGGCCUAAGGCGAGGUCGAAAGACGUAGUCGAUGGAUAACAGGUGGAGAUUCCUGUACUAUGUGUACCCAGAACUGUGGGGACGCAUGUGGAGAGCACGAGCCGGGAAAGAGAAAACCGGUACAAGCGGGGUAGGAGUAAGGACAGCAAAUCUUCCUUACAAUCCGAAGACGUAAUGUGGACCGAACUAGAGUAGGGAAGCAUGUGAGCCAUGUGCCAAGAAAAGCCGCUAUUGUGAUACACAUACCCGUACCGUAAACCGACACAGGUGGAUGAGGAGAGAAUCCUAAGGCCGACGGAAGAAGCAUUGUUAAGGAACUCGGCAAAAUGACCCCGUAACUUCGGGAGAAGGGGUGCUCCAGAGAUGGAGCCGCAGAGAACUGGCCCAAGCAACUGUUUAGCAAAAACACAGGUCUAUGCAAAACCGAAAGGUGAGGUAUAUGGGCUGACGCCUGCCCGGUGCUGGAAGGUUAAGAGGAGAAGUCAGGCAACGAAGCUUCGAAUUUAAGCCCCAGUAAACGGCGGCCGUAACUAUAACGGUCCUAAGGUAGCGAAAUUCCUUGUCGGGUAAGUUCCGACCCGCACGAAAGGCGUAAUGAUUUGAGCACUGUCUCGACAAUGCAUCCGGUGAAAUUGAAGUACCAGUGAAGAUGCUGGUUACCUGCGCCAGGACGGAAAGACCCCAUGGAGCUUUACUCUAGCUUGAUACUGGGAUUCGGUAUUGCAUGUACAGGAUAGGUGGGAGACUAAGAGGUGAUGACGCCAGUUGUCACGGAGUCGAUGUUGGGAUACCACCCCUGCAGUACUGGGUUUCUAACCUGCGGCCGUAACCCGGCCGGGGGACAAUGUCUGGUGGGGAGUUUGACUGGGGCGGUCGCCUCCGAAAGAGUAUCGGAGGCGCUCAAAGGUUCCCUCAGAAUGGUUGGAAACCAUUCGAAGAGUGCAAAGGCAGAAGGGAGCUUGACUGCGACACCGACGGGUGGAGCAGGUACGAAAGUAGGACUUAGUGAUCCGGUGGUAUGAAAGUGGGAUUGCCAUCGCUCAACGGAUAAAAGCUACCCUGGGGAUAACAGGCUUAUCACUCCCAAGAGUUCACAUCGACGGAGUGGUUUGGCACCUCGAUGUCGGCUCAUCGCAUCCUGGGGCUGUAGUAGGUCCCAAGGGUUGGGCUGUUCGCCCAUUAAAGCGGUACGCGAGCUGGGUUCAGAACGUCGUGAGACAGUUCGGUCCCUAUCCGGCGUGGGCGUAGGAUAUCUGAGAGGAGCUGUCCUUAGUACGAGAGGACCGGGAUGGACUGACCUCUGGUGCAUCGGUUGAGCCACCAGGCUCAUGGCCGAGUAGCCAAGUCGGGACGGGAUAAACGCUGAAGGCAUCUAAGCGUGAAGCCCCCCUCAAGAUGAGAUAUCCCAUAACGUAAGUUAGUAAGACCCCUUGAAGACGACGAGGUAGAUAGGCAGAAGGUGGAAGUGUGGUGACAUAUGGAGCUGAUCUGUACUAAUAGGUCGAGGGCUUAACCAA